AGAGUUUGAUCAUGGCUCAGAACGAACGUUAGCGGCGCGCUUAACACAUGCAAGUCGAACGAGAAAGCACNUUCGGGUGUGAGUAAAGUGGCGAACGGGUGAGUAUCACGUGGGUUAUCUGCCCUUUGGUGGGGGACAACACUUCGAAAGGAGUGCUAAUACCGCAUAAGUCGGCUUCGGCCGGGAAAGACGGCUUCGGCUGUCGCCAGAGGAUGAGCCCGCGGCCCAUCAGCUUGUUGGUAGGGUAAUGGCCUACCAAGGCUACGACGGGUAGCUGGUCUUAGAGGACGAUCAGCCACACUGGAACUGAGACACGGUCCAGACUCCUACGGGAGGCAGCAGUGGGGAAUAUUGCGCAAUGGGCGAAAGCCUGACGCAGCGACGCCGCGUGGGUGAUGAAGGCCUUCGGGUCGUAAAGCCUUGUGGGAGAGGGACGAACAACCCAGGGGAAUAAUACCCCUUGGGCCUGACGGUACCUCUUCAGAAAGCACCGGCUAACUCCGUGCCAGCAGCCGCGGUAAUACGGAGGGUGCGAACGUUGUUCGGAAUUACUGGGCGUAAAGCGCGUGUAGGCGGCUUUGUAAGUCAGAUGUGAAAGCCCUCGGCUCAACCGAGGAAGGGCAUUUGAAACUGCGAGGAUAGAGUACGGGAGAGGGUUGUAGAAUUCCAGGUGUAGAGGUGAAAUUCGUAGAUAUCUGGAGGAAUACCGGUGGCGAAGGCGGCAACCUGGACCGAUACUGACGCUGAGACGCGAAAGCGUGGGGAGCAAACAGGAUUAGAUACCCUGGUAGUCCACGCCGUAAACGAUGAACACUAGGUGCUGCGGGUAUCGACCCCUGCGGUGCCGUAGCUAACGCGUUAAGUGUUCCGCCUGGGGAGUACGGCCGCAAGGCUAAAACUCAAAUGAAUUGACGG
rnacentral:rRNA from 1 species